GAAACUGAGUUGAAAAAGGGGUGUUCGUUCAAUCUCAUUUGAUGCAUGUGUUGAUUUUGAAUUCAGGAUGAGGAAAGGGAAUUUAAAUCUUCUUAUUCUGGAUUUCUGAACAAAGGGGGGUGACUCUUCAUUUAUUUUUGGGUCCUUAACAACCCUUCUUUCUCAUUUUUGUUUUCUGUCUUUUGAGAUGAAUUAGCCUUUUAGUGUUCUCAUCUGCAUAGUAAAGGCGAGAAAUUUCAGAAGUUAAAGACAAGGACAAGGUCUUAGUAUGAGUUUGAUAACAUUUUGUAUGGAAUAGUUGGGUUAUGCUCGGACUCGACAUUUCAGGUCAAGAAAGCUAGCUAUAGAAGUGAGCCAAAACUUCACAACAAGGUCCCCUUCUCAAGCAAAAAUUACAGCCCAUCAAAUGUUUGACAAAAAGGCUGAAAGGAGAGAAGAAGGGGCAGCCGUUAUGCUGUUCAGCACAACUCCACAAUGUUGUUCAUAUCGUUGGAAAGAUUUGGUUACUGCUUGGAAGUUCAGACCAUUUAUUCAGAAACGGCUGCAACCUUGAUAGUAUGUGUCGUUGGCAAGAGGUAGUUGCAGUAUUGCUCUUCAUACUACCCAGUGAGAGAUGAUUGUUAUCAUAUCUCAUUUUUGGCAAUGGCCGUGUAAAUUAAUAGAGUUGGCAACUGGCCAUCUCCAUUUUCGACAACCGGCCAUAUAAAUUGUUGGAAUCGGUAACUGGUCGUUUCUUGGUUUCCGGCAAGUGGUCGUCUGUUAUUUUUGGCAAUUGGCCCUCUGUUUAUUUUGGCAAUUGGCCGCCUGUUAUUUUGGGAAAUUGACCCUCUGUUUAUUUUGGCAAUUGGCCGUUUAUUUUGUGAAUUGGCCGUCUGUUAUUUUGG